AUAGUGAGCGAAUCCCAAAAAGUGCGUCGUAGUCCGGAUUGGAGUCUGCAACUCGACUCCAUGAAGUCGGAAUCGCUAGUAAUCGUGAAUCAGAAUGUCACGGUGAAUACGUUCCCGGGCCUUGUACACACCGCCCGUCACACCAUGGGAGUGGGCUGCAAAAGAAGUGGGUAGUUUAACCUUUCGGGGAGGACGCUCACCACUUUGUGGUUCAUGACUGGGGUGAAGUCGUAACAAGGUAGCCCUAGGGGAACCUGGGGCUGGAUCACCUCCUUAUACGAAGAUAC
rnacentral:rRNA from 1 species